GCGGGUGUGGUCUAGUGGUAUGACACGGCCCUUCCAAGGCUGUGACGGGAGUUCGAUUCUCCCCACCCGCACAA
rnacentral:tRNA from 1 species